UACGGGGGGGGCAAGCGUUGUUCGGAAUUACUGGGCGUAAAGGGCUCGUAGGCGGCCAACUAAGUCAGACGUGAAAUCCCUCGGCUUAACCGGGGAACUGCGUCUGAAACUGCCUGGCUUGAGGCCGGGAGGGGGUAGCGGAAUUCCCAGUGUAGCGGUGAAAUGCGUAGAUAUUGGGAGGAACACCAGCGGCGAAGGCGGCACUCUGGGCUGGAACUGACGCUGAGGAGCGAAAGCGUGGGUAGCAAACGAGG
rnacentral:rRNA from 1 species